rnacentral:rRNA from 1 species
CAGUAGCCACGGGAAUACGAAGGGGGCUAGCGUUGCUCGGAAUUACUGGGCGUAAAGGGAGCGUAGGCGGACAUUUAAGUCAGGGGUGAAAUCCCGGGGCUCAACCUCGGAAUUGCCUUUGAUACUGGGUGUCUUGAGUAUGAGAGAGGUAUGUGGAACUCCGAGUGUAGAGGUGAAAUUCGUAGAUAUUCGGAAGAACACCAGUGGCGAAGGCGACAUACUGGCUCAUUACUGACGCUGAGGCUCGAAAGCGUGGGGAGCAAACAGGAUUAGAUACCCCUGUAGUCCCUGUCUCUUAUAC